ACAGGUGGAUUCCGAGCCCCGCUUCCUAAAGGUCGGACAGAACCCAUGGAACGGGGCCGUUUCAGAAAUGAAACCGGGGUUUGCUUAGAAAUGAGCACACCUUCCGAACUAGAAAAGGAGGCUAUACCUAGCUAU
rnacentral:ncRNA from 2 species